GCGGCGCCAGAGUACUGCGCGUGCGCAUUACGGGGGCCGCCUGGUUCCCCGCCCGCCGCCCUUUUAACCGCGAGCUACAGAG
rnacentral:snoRNA from 1 species